rnacentral:lncRNA from 10 species
CACCUCUGAGCCGGCCACCAGGUGAGAGCCCAGGCAGGUAACCCUGCGCUCGUCCCUCAGGCGCCCACUCAUCAGCUGGGGAGCCCCAGGGCACGGACACCGGCCCCUAUCCUGGCCCUGCCCGAUCCCCAGGUACCCAGGUGUGCAGGACCGGGGGAUCCCCAACCUUUCCAGCCUCGCUGCAUCUUCCUCCAGCCUUCCGGCUUCCUUCCUUUCCAUGCUGAGCCCACUGACCCCUCCUCAGAAGCCCGGGGCAACCUCAAAACAAAACCAGAAUCCCGGAAUUGCAGUGGGCUUUCUGAGCUGUGCGACCUAGCAUCUCCCCUGGAGCUAUCAGCCCCAGCUUCCUAACAGCUCCAGGAAGGCAGGGA